CCCUUAGAUGUUCUGGGCCGCACGCGUGCUACACUGAUGCAUUCAACGAGUCUAAAACCUGGUCUGAUAGGGGUGGGUAAUCUUUUGAAUGUGCAUCGUGAUUGGGAUAGAUGAUUGCAAUUUUUCAUCUUCAACGAGGAAUGCCUAGUAAACGCAAGUCAUCAGCUUGCAUUGAUUACGUCCCUGCCCUUUGUACACACCGCCCGUCGCUCCUACCGAUUGAAUGAUCCGAUGAAUAUCAUGGAUUGAGGAUGCAAGUAGGUUCGCCUAUCUUCAUCUUCGAGAAGUGAAGUAAAUCUUAUCAUUUAGAGGAAGGAGAAGUCGUAACA
rnacentral:rRNA from 1 species